UAGCUCAGUCAGUUGAGCAUGGUGUUAACAACGCUAAGGUCGCGGGUUUGAUUCCCGU
rnacentral:tRNA from 1 species